rnacentral:rRNA from 1 species
AUAGCGUAUAUUAAAGUUGUUGCAGUUAAAAAGCUCGUAGUUGAACUUCAGGCCUGGCCGGGCGGUCUGCCUAACGGUAUGUACUGUCUGGCUGGGUCUUACCUCUUGGUGAGCCGGCAUGCCCUUCACUGGGUGUGUCGGGGAACCAGGACUUUUACCUUGAGAAAAUUAGAGUGUUCAAAGCAGGCUUAUGCCCGAAUACAUUAGCAUGGAAUAAUAAAAUAGGACGUGCGGUUCUAUUUUGUUGGUUUCUAGAGUCGCCGUAAUGAUUAAUAGGGAUAGUUGGGGGCAUUAGUAUUCCGUUGCUAGAGGUGAAAUUCUUGGAUUUACGGAAGACUAACUACUGCGAAAGCAUUUGCCAAGGAUGUUUUCAUUAAUCAAGAACGAAGGUUAGGGGAUCGAAAACGAUCAGAUACCGUUGUAGUCUUAACAGUAAACUAUGCCGACUAGGGAUCGGGCGAACUUCAAUUUCAUGUGUCGCUCGGCAC